rnacentral:rRNA from 1 species
CAGUAGCCACGGUAAUACGAAGGGUGCAAGCGUUAAUCGGAAUUACUGGGCGUAAAGCGUGCGUAGGCGGUGAGUUAAGUCUGCUGUGAAAUCCCCGGGCUCAACCUGGGAAUGGUAGUGGAUACUGGCUCGCUAGAGUGUGUCAGAGGAUGGUGGAAUUCCCGGUGUAGCGGUGAAAUGCGUAGAGAUCGGGAGGAACAUCAGUGGCGAAGGCGGCCAUCUGGGGCAACACUGACGCUGAGGCACGAAAGCGUGGGGAGCAAACAGGAUUAGAUACCCCGGUAGCCCUGUCUCUUAUACC